CCUACGGGUGGCUGCAGUGGGGAAUUUUGGACAAUGGGCGAAAGCCUGAUCCAGCCAUUCCGCGUGAGUGAAGAAGGCCUUCGGGUUGUAAAGCUCUUUCGGCAGGAACGAAACGGUGAGAGCUAAUAUCUCAUUACUAAUGACGGUACCUGAAGAAGAAGCACCGGCUAACUACGUGCCAGCAGCCGCGGUAAUACGUAGGGUGCGAGCGUUCGUCGGAAUUGCUGGGCGUAAGACUCACGCAGGAUGUGAAAGCCCCGGGCUUAACCUGGGAACGGCAUUUGAAACUAGGUCGCUAGAGUAUGGCAGAGGGGGGUAGAAUUCCACGUGUAGCAGUGAAAUGCGUAGAGAUGUGGAGGAAUACCGAUGGCGAAGGCAGCCCCCUGGGUCAAUACUGACGCUCAUGCACGAAAGCGUGGGGAGCAAACAGGAUUAGAUACCCCAGUAGUC
rnacentral:rRNA from 1 species